AUUGAACGCUGGCGGCAGGCCUAACACAUGCAAGUCGAGCGGAUGAAGGGAGCUUGCUCCUGGAUUCAGCGGCGGACGGGUGAGUAAUGCCUAGGAAUCUGCCUGGUAGUGGGGGAUAACGUCCGGAAACGGGCGCUAAUACCGCAUACGUCCUGAGGGAGAAAGUGGGGGAUCUUCGGACCUCACGCUAUCAGAUGAGCCUAGGUCGGAUUAGCUAGUUGGUGGGGUAAAGGCCUACCAAGGCGACGAUCCGUAACUGGUCUGAGAGGAUGAUCAGUCACACUGGAACUGAGACACGGUCCAGACUCCUACGGGAGGCAGCAGUGGGGAAUCUUGGACAAUGGGCGAAAGCCUGAUCCAGCAAUGCCGCGUGUGUGAAGAAGGUCUUCGGAUGGUAAAGCACUUUAAGUUGGGAGGAAGGGCAGUAAGUUAAUACCUUGCUGUUUUGACGUUACCAACAGAGUAAGCAACGGCUAACUUCGUG
rnacentral:rRNA from 1 species